rnacentral:rRNA from 1 species
GACGAACGCUGGCGGCGUGCUUAACACAUGCAAGUCGAACGAAGUGGCGAACGGGUGAGUAACGCGUAAUCAACCUGCCCUUCAGAGGGGGACAACAGUUGGAAACGACUGCUAAUACCGCAUACUGAAGGAGGGGAUUGCGUCUGAUUAUCUAGUUGGAGGGGGAACGGCCCACCAAGGCGAUGAUCAGUAGCCGGUCUGAGAGGAUGAACGGCCACAUUGGGACUGAGACACUGCCCAGACUCCUACGGGAGGCAGCAGUUAGGAAUAUUGGUAAAUGGACGCAAGUCUGACCCAGCCAAGUAGCGUGCAGGAUGACGGCCUAUGGGUUGUAAACUGCUUUUAUAUGGGGAUAGGUACCAUAUGAAUAAGGACCGGCUAAUUCCGUGCCAGCAGCCGCGGUAAUUC